UACGAAGGGUGCAAACGUUGCUCGGAAUCAUUGGGCGUAAAGCGCACGUAGGCGGCGCAGUAAGUCGGACGUGAAAUCCCUCGGCUCAACCGAGGACGUGCAUCCGAAACUACUGUGCUCGAGUAUGGAAGAGGGUCGCGGAAUUCUCGGUGUAGAGGUGAAAUUCGUAGAUAUCGGGAGGAACACCAGUGGCGAAGGCGGCGACCUGGGCCAAUACUGACGCUGAGGAGGCGAAAAGCGUGGGGAGCGAACAGG
rnacentral:rRNA from 1 species